ACAAAUUCUUUGUUGUCUGGGAUAGUGAUGUCAUUGAGACAGUGGAACUUUGGUUACCACACACAAUCAUAGUAAAAGUCACACACAGCUAGGGUUGUCACCAUAACUGGUGUAGCGGUAAACCCUGGUAAAAAAAGUUCACAAUAAUAAUAACCGUUUUGUUUUUCAAAAAAUAUAUUAUCUCGGUUGAUUACCGUGGCUGCGGUGACCCUGUUUUGUUUUAAAAGCAUUUUUAUUUUUUGACUAUGAUAUGUUUUGUUGGUCUCUGUGAAGAACUUUGUGAUUCGCUUUCUGUGAGUGCCAUAUAAAUAGAAUUUACUUAGCUAAAUAAAAUAUAGAAUUGAAGUCAGUUUUAGUUUGUUCUUUAUUGUAAGUAGUUAACUAAAGAAUAGCAUAAAAUGGCCACGGCUAGACUUAAAAUAAAAAUUUCUAUUAAUUAUUUUUUUUAGAAUUUUACUUAUCACUAUUGAUCAAAAUGAUAUGUUUUUUUAUUGAUAUGCUUUUUUCUAUAUCGUGCAGCCCUAAAACUGAGUAAUUUUAUCAAAUAAAUGUCCAAAGGAAAUACUUGGUCUUAUUUACAUAACUGUGUUCUCUUAAAGGAGCAUGGGGCAGGAAUUGUCCAAAAACAAAAAGUACAUGUUCAUUCUUGUGAAGCUUAUGGGUGAUGAAGCAUUUUAAACUAAAAAGAAUGAUGAAACCAGUUUAUCAUUCCAUUUUGUUAAUCAUGCUGUGUGCUGCAAAAUGCAACACAUUCCUGAUCCGAAUUUCCCACGCUGUUUUACGGAUAUGACGUUAAUUGACGCUUCAAGCGCGUUCUCGACAAGGUUCAAACUCGGAAAAACACUUGCUAGGUGGCGGUAAUGCGUCUUUCACUACUAGCCACGUUAAAACCUCAAACAGAAGAGGAAGAACCCUGGAAAUGGAUUCUACAACUAGCAAACGACCAAGCGCAACCCAAAGCCCACUAAAGAGUGGCACAAAGAAGAAGGUUUUAUCAGCGGCAUCUCGAGAGUCAAAAAGAAAAUAUGAUAAAAGUCGGUCAGGGACCCGAAUAUCUAUUGGUUACGCUCUGGAAGAAUGGAGGCUGCUUCAACUGGAUUUGGUGCCUGAAAAAGGAUGCGGACAUGGCACAUUUUCUAGUGACCAGGUAAGUGUUGGUCUCCUUAUUUCUGCUGUAGGUUUCAGUAACGAGUAGGUAAACAUAUCAGAGCUGUAUCUGCACAAUUUGAGAAAAUAAAAUAAAACUUAUGGAUUUAGAUAAUGCUGAUUUAGGUAAUCUAACAAAUCUUUGUGCAGAUGAACAAGAAACUUAUCUAAGCUAACGGUGUUUAGCAUAUGGCUUCCUGAUCAGUUUAAAAAAGCUAAAAGCAACGAAGGUGUAAUCAGAUCACUUCUACGUUUUGUGGACGACACGCCGCAUGUGUUUGGAGAUAAAUGGAUGCUACGUUUAUUCUGACGAGAAAAGUAAACAGAGCUUGAUUUGAUUAUACCGCUCAGCCGGAGAGUGCUAGCGUGCGUUAGCAUGUUAGCUGCGAUCACGUUUCAGUUUGUAUGUACCACAGAAGAGAAUGGACAUUUUCCAAACCAAAGAUGAGUCUUUAGAAUUAUGUCAUAUUUGAUCUACAGUCCAACCUCUAAGCAGGACUGUUACUUCAGUAGAUAAUGUUAUUCGUGGGGUUUGUGUAACAGAACCCCAUCAGAAUAUAUUUUCCUAGCGCUAUUGCUGUGCUACAUAACAAUAAAUAAUAAGUCAGCCAUAACAACACGUUUGACUAAAAGUAAAGUUGUGCAGAAGUUUGUGUUUAUUUUUCUAAAUUUGUCCAGUUGAAUGUAGGUCAGAAUAAAAUAUGUUUGUGAAAAUGAUAAAUAAAUUUUUUUAUGACUGACAUGCAUUUUCAUAUUACUAGUUGUGCCACAGGUAAAGAAGCUUAGCCAUUAUUGAUCUAUGUAAACAGAAGGUGUAGAGUCUCAACCAACUUGUUGACAUUUUUGCGUAAAAAUGUGUUUUCCAGCUACCGGAAGAAGCAGGCUCCUGAAACUGCAAUUCAUGGAGGUAAUGUGCAGUCAACCUCAACACCCAGUAAGCGAACAGCAGCUAAAAUGUCGCAUCGAUUAUCUCCAACUGAACCUGUGUCUGAGGGGGAAGAUUUUCUAAUGGCUGGUGUUGAGGCCUUAGCUGAUGACCUAGAUUUGGAUCCUUUUGAAGAAAGUUUCAAAUCCAUGGAUCUAGCUACGGAUGCAGUCUAAAUUGAUGAGGACCAAGCAAACAACUUACUCAACAGUGUGCUGGGAUCCUAAAGGGAAUUUCCAUCCUACUUGUGUGGCUGAAUGACAUCUUCAACCAAUUUUGGUACAUUUGCCAGAAAGCACAACAUCGUGAUAUGUUUAAUGACAUGUGGGUGGGUGUGCUUCACCAUGUCACAGGGAAGCAUGAAUGGACCCGUGGCAAAUGUGACCAUGGACCACUUGAUGCAACGUGGCAUGGUGCCAGGAUCUCCACCACACGAGGCUCUUCAACGAAUCAUGUUCAACAGACGCUGGUUGAAGGAUGUCACCAAUCUGACCUUUAGGUAUAUUAAUAACAUUUUCAUAAGCAAAAAAGCUAAAGUGUCAAUAUCAAAGCUGAAAAUUUACAUAUAGAAAUGACAAUUGUGGGUGAAAAGGCAAUCAAAAGUGUGAUUCCUGAUAAUCUAUAAAGUU